rnacentral:rRNA from 1 species
UACAGAGACUGCAAGCGUUAUUCGGAUUCACUGGGCGUAAAGGGUGCGCAGGCGGCCAAGUGUGUGAGGCGUGAAAGCCCGGGGCUUAACCCCGGAAUUGCACCUCAAACUACAUGGCUAGAGCAUUGGAGAGGGUAGCAGAAUUCACGGUGUAGCAGUGAAAUGCGUAGAUAUCGUGAGGAAUACCAGAGGCGAAGGCGGCUACCUGGACAAUUGCUGACGCUCAGGCACGAAAGCGUGGGGGAGCAAAAGGG